CAGAAUACAUGAUGAUCACACCCCAACUUGAACUCUCUCACUGAUUAUGUGAUGACGAUAAAAGAUCUGAUAUUCUG
rnacentral:snoRNA from 15 species